AACAAAGAUAGUGACGUUGAUAUA
rnacentral:siRNA from 1 species